AAAACUUGCUUUUAAUAUUUUAAACUCUUCAAAACUCCUCUUCUUUCAAGUUUUCUUGUGAGACUUUCCGAUAAUUUCGUGAGAGUUUAUUGUUGGUCGAAAAUUUUAUGAUGGUUGGUUACUUUUUCCUUCCAACCCACGACGUCUCGAUUUCAUACUUAUGUAUAGGUAUCGUUCUUUAUUCCAAAUACUACAUUUUUUUUUCUUUCUUUAUGCUACCAUUUGUUUUAUGGAUUCUCCAUGUUCUCGGGUUGUUUUUUACUCUAGGGGUUCUUGCUCCUCUGAAUAUCCCGGUGGUUUUAGAGGUGUUGCCUCCAGCGUCUCCAUAGGAUCGACUAGUGCCACCUUUGAUGAUGGUGACUUUGCCAUUUCUCCACCUUUUCUCCUAUUUUUGUCCCUUCCCAAAACUUUGAAAGGGACUAUGUGGAGGGAUUUGGAUUGAGUGCAAUCAGUACAUCUUGAUCGAAUGUCAUUGAUUGCAGUCAAACCCUGCCGACUAGUGGCGGAUGGAGAGGGGGGGCCUUUGGAAGCCAUGAUCCCCCCCCCCCCCUAUAUUUUUAAUAAAAAAAUUUAUAUACUAUAAUGAGACUAUAUUAGAAUGUUUCAUAAAAUAUAUAUUAGGUUAUGGCCCCCUCAAUUAAUUUAAUUCAAAUGUUCACCAUAAUAUUAGAUUAUUUGACAACUAAUAUCAUUAGUUUUAUAUAUUAUAUUAUUUUAAAUUAUCUCAUAUGGUCCUUUCCACAACAUAUUUUAAAUGGAAUGAAACACAAUGAUAUAGCUUUGCAAAAUAAAAUACUAUUUUAAAGCAAAAAAUGAGCAAAUUAAAACCUAAAAUAAAAAUAGGGGGAUAAAAUAUAAUUUACUCCUUAAUGGAUUCUAUUCUCCUGUGACAAAAAACUCAUGUCUUUCACACUCGUACAAAAGUUCUUCUAUAUAGUCAGUCGUCGUUCUCCCUUUAUAUUAACCCUUCGAUUCUCAAGAUAAAACAGUCAUGGUGAUUCGGAGUUCAUCCGAGAGGUAACUAAAGUUUGGCAAAAAAUUGUUCUGCUCAAGAAUCAAACUCGGGUUAUCCUGAAUAAUUUGACAUUUACUAAAAACACAUUUAACCCUAGAACAUAUACAUUAUUAGUUUUCUCUUUUUAUACAAGGGUGUUUUUGUUUUCUUUUCCUACUUAAUGUUUUUUUUCUCUAUUAUUAAGUCAAUACUUGUAUGAUAACUGUACAUACCUAUUAAUGUCUCUCAUACUAAUUAAAUAUAGUUAUAAAUUUCUUUAAAAAACAAGAAAAUAUUAGUUUAUGCCUUUAGGGUUUCUUAUACAUCUUUUGUAUUUAAAAAAUUAUUUUAAAUCAAAUUAUGUUCCUUAUUUGCUAAAAAGAAUGUCUCUUGUAUUCGACCUCCCUAACUUUAAAUUCCUGGCUCCGUCCAUGCUCCCGACUACACACAAACUGAGUGGUGUUAUCUCCUCGACAGGCGCUCAUAGAUUGUGAGGUUUGAAGGCAACACUUGAGGGAUACUUAUCUUCCUCAGGAUGGAUUAUGAGAGAAAUGUUGAAUGGGCUCAUGUUCCUCUUUACGUCGAAAUAAAAUGCAUAAAUACUUGGUUUUAUCCAAGGUAAGCCUCAAAACACAUACAUCAAAUUCUCACUAUUUGGUUCAUAAAGUCAUACAACAAUUUUAUUUUAUUUUUUGGUCAAGUUUUGUUGUCAUACAACAAUAUUUUAAUUGUAACAUGUUGAAUAUAAACACAUAAAACUUAAUUAUCUACAAACACAAUAUAAUUGGCAUAGACUAUGAUACUAAUUGUUGAAAUUUCUUUAGGCUCCAAGAAGAACAAUAUCAAGUUGAUACUAAGAAUCUUCAAUUUUAUUACCAAUCAACAAAAUUCAUCUCUACAAAAUCCAAAAAAUAUGGCAAUGAUAGUUUAUAUCAAUCUAUUUGACGCCUCUCUCUCUUAGACUUUGCUCUCUCCAUCUUCAACAUUUCUAGCAAGAAAUCACUCCAUGUAUCUAUAGGCCCUGGCAAACACCAAUGAACACAAUCAUUAUACAAUGUCACAUUUUCUUGAGGUAAAUGUCCAUACCUACUUGGAUGACCAUCUGGUCUCAAUAACAUAGCUUGAGUUGUAUCAAGCAACCUAAAUUUCAAACCAUUUCUCUUGGCCUUCUUUUGAGAAAUUUUGUACUCUUCCAAUUGGAUCAUAUAUAACUCCAUAUUGGUCCCUUCUAACCUUGCCUCAUUACUCUUAAAUGGCUUAGUCCUUAAACAAUUCCCACCUUGGUUCCAUAUACCAUUCUCAAAAUGUGAUGGUGCAAAUGUCCUAAGAAAUGUCACACCCUUAAAAUUUUCUAAGCUAUUUAAGGCUCUAAAUGCAGUCCUAAAAGCUUUUCUAUAGCCAUAAUACAUUGUUAAAUCAGUGACAUUUUCUAAGAGACAAUAAUGACAUCCAACAAUUUUUCCUUUCUCAUAGAAUACCAUUGGCUUGUAGAACCAAUGUCCUCCAUUGAUUAUGACAUAGUCAAAAUCUUCAAUUUGUGAUGUCCAUUUUUCAUCAAAUUCAUCUAGGUAAAGAUUGUAGAGACCAGUGUGGGUUGGACCAUCUGAAUUUUCUCUUUGAGCUUUGACAAGAAAGGGGGUCCAAUAAGCAGCCAUGGUGAAAUUGUAACUUGGGUAUUUCCAUCUCAUGAAAUAGUCAUCUUUUGUGUAUGAUACAUCUAUAGGCCAUUCCACCUAGAAAAAGUUAAAUGGUCUAAGAUUUAGAAAAUUAUUUAUCAAUAAAAAAAUAUAAAAACAUAGAAGCACGCACAAUUUUAAAUAAGGGAAAUGUUAAUGAGUGCUUAUGGGGCACUCUUUAAACAUCUUUAAUAGUAGUAGUAAGUUUUUAUAAAAAUCAGUGUAAUUAAUGCAUUGAAAUUUAUAACAUUUGACUUUUUUAAGGAAUACUUUCUAAAUUUAGAAUAUUUAAAGAGUGUCCUAGAUACAUUACCCUUUUAAUAAAAUGAAGUUAAAGAUGAAACUAUGCAAUAAGAGUUUUUCUUGCCUAUAAAGUCUCAAAUAAUUCAGAGGGUCAUGGGUCUUUCAUCUUUGGAUUGUAUUCUAGUGGAAAUUAUUCAAUAUUCGCAUGAAAACAAGAAGUUAAGCCCAGAGGAAAUAAUUAAAUUAGUUGGAUUGUCACACCACAUGUUAGCAUCAUGCUGUUAUUGUACCUUGUCAUUGGUUAGAUAUUGAAAACUAUUUCAUUGUCAACUUAACCUUUUGCAUUUAGUAAAAAAAAAAAAAAAAGGAAAUUUUGUCUUGGUUUGAGAUCGGAAUGUCAAGAAUCGAACCUACAACAACUAGUUCAAAAUCCGACCUAUGCAUAUAUUAUACAUUGUCCCUACCAACUGAGCUAAGUUCACGGUGACAGCCGAUUAAAAACUUAAGUGCAAUCAUUUUGUUAUAGUAUAAAAUAGUUUUAUCAAAAACUGAUUUAAUUGGCUAAAUGGACUUGUGUUUUUCUGACUAAAGUUUGACUAGUGAGUAGUGAGUAUAUUUUAUGAGUUGGAGGCUUCAACUUUGGAUACACUAAUUAAUUAUAAACACUAUAUUUACAAGUAACUCGAAAAUAAAGAAAACCAAGAACUGAAUUUAAUUAAUAAAAUAAAUAAAAAGUGACUUGAGACUGUGUUCUUGUGGCCUGGUUAGGGACAUGGAAUGUGAUUGCCAGAGUUUACAUCUCGUGCUAAGAUUCCACUUCUUGUGGCAUGCUUUGCUUAAUUACUGAGAUAAUUUAUGUGGUUGGACAGAUUUUGUUAUAUUUGUUUUAUGUUUAUAUAAUAUUUUAUGAAUAAGUUUGUGAAAACUAUAGUUUUAAACAUGUAAAGUCUAAAUAAAAGAUUGAGUCAAAAAAAUGAUUUUUUUUUUAAUAUCGUUUUAUUUUAUAUCUUGCUAUUAUAUUUGAGAAAUUUACUAGUAACAGGUUUUUUAAAGUCAAAUUUAUUUAUUUAUUUUUUAAAAAAACUCGAUAUUCGGUGCAAGGAUCUACUAAUUCGAGAGAACAAGUCCUACCGUCCACUUUGGGAGGGUUCGUUUAAAGUCAGAGCAUUAGCAAAACUCUAUAUGGACUUGCCCGUCAGAAUUGACAUUAGAGGGAAUCUGAAACUUUGAAAUAAACACACUCCAAGAUCCGAAACCAACCAUUAUAUCAACCCUAAAUAGGUUAAAGUCAAAUUUAUUUUAUAGAUGGACUGAAGCACAUAAAUGGACUUGUCAUCUGAGAGAAAACCGACAUUUAGAGUAAAAGUCUACGCCAGUAUUUUUUUUUUGUGAAUAGACGAAAUGGCAAAGUCAUUGUAAACUCACACACACAAUUGGAGGUACCGGGGUUCGAACCCCGAUCAUAGAAUCCGGCCUAACAAUUUCGGCAUUUUACCAAUUGAGCUAGAACUUGUUGAUUCUAUUCCAAUAUUUAUUUUAGGGAAAAGGUCUAUUCUAAUUAUUAUCUGUAUUAAAUGAGUCCUGAGAUUGAGGUUUAUUUGUCAAAUAAUAAAUGUGCUAUUAUUUAACCUUCCGUGUUUUAGUGGGUAAGAGACAUUUGCGAAGUUCGACAUGGAGGUAAGUAAAACCUGACCGAAAACUGUUUUAUAUAAUUUGUUAUUUUGUGGAGUUCAUUUGACUAAGUUCUACUUUUUAAUUAAAGUAGAGAGGUAGUUGGGUCAAUGUCAUCUCUAUUUCUUAAAAGGAAUUGACUAUGCACAAAUUAGAGAUUGGUGCAGUCAAGUUAUGGCACUCUAUUUUUUCAAUAAAAUUUGAGAACUUUAUUUAGAGAUAGAUACAUG
rnacentral:lncRNA from 1 species